UUCGCAAUGCCCGAAAGGGUGACGAAGCGACGCCGCGUGUGGGAAGAAGGCCUUCGGGUUGUAAACCACUGUCGGGAGUUAAGAAAUGCAAGGAUAUUAAUAGUGUCUUUGUUUGACUAAGGCUCCGGAGGAAGCCACGGCUAACUCUGUGCCAGCAGCCGCGGUAAUACAGAGGCGGCAAGCGUUGUUCGGAAUUAUUGGGCGUAAAGAGCACGUAGGCGGCUAUGUAAGUCGGUUGUGAAAGCCUUCCGCUCAACGGAAGAACAGCAUCCGAUACUACAUGGCUUGAGUGCGGGAGGGGAGAGCGGAACUUCUGGUGGAGCGGUGAAAUGCGUAGAUAUCAGAAGGAACGCCGGCGGCGAAAGCGGCUCUCUGGCCCAUAACUGACACUGAGUGUGCGAAAGCUAGGGGAGCAAACGGGAUUAGAUACCCCGGUAGUCCUAGCCGUAAACGAUGGGCACUAAGUAGAGGGGUUUU
rnacentral:rRNA from 1 species